UAACAGGAUUAGAUACCCUGGUAGUCCAUGCCGUAAACGAUGAAUGCUAAGUGUUGGAGGGUUUCCGCCCUUCAGUGCUGCAGCUAACGCAUUAAGCAUUCCGCCUGGGGAGUACGACCGCAAGGUUGAAACUCAAAAGAAUUGACGGGGGCCCGCACAAGCGGUGGAGCAUGUGGUUUAAUUCGAAGCUACGCGAAGAACCUUACCAGGUCUUGACAUCUUCUGCUAACCUAAGAGAUUAGGCGUUCCCUUCGGGGACGGAAUGGCAGGUGGUGCAUGGUUGUCGUCAGCUCGUGUCGUGAGAUGUUGGGUUAAGUCCCGCAACGAGCGCAACCCUUAUUAUUAGUUGCCAGCAUUAAGUUGGGCACUCUAGUGAGACUGCCGGUGACAAACCGGAGGAAGGUGGGGACGACGUCAAAUCAUCAUGCCCCUUAUGACCUGGGCUACACACGUGCUACAAUGGGCGGUACAACGAGUUGCGAGACCGCGAGGUUUAGCUAAUCUCUUAAAACCGUUCUCAGUUCGGACUGCAGGCUGCAACUCGCCUGCACGAAGUUGGAAUCGCUAGUAAUCGCGGAUCAGCAUGCCGCGGUGAAUACGUUCCCGGGCCUUGUACACACCGCCCGUCACACCAUGAGAGUUUGUAACACCCAAAGCCGGUGGAGUAACCUUCGGGAGCUAGCCGUCUAAGGUGGGACAGAUGAUUGGGGUGAAGUCGUAACAAGGUAACCA
rnacentral:rRNA from 1 species